GGGGGCGAAACGGCUUCGACGGGGAUAUAAAAGCAUAGGUUGCAUAUCGAGCGCCUGCCAGCUCGUAAAAACGGUGGGAUUAAAAUAAUCGCAGACGAUUAUCACUACGCCUUAGCCGCAUAAUGUAGGCUAACGUCCUGCCGGGUUUUCCUGCGAACCCGGACAAGGACGUCGUUCAGCAGGAUAGCCUC
rnacentral:tmRNA from 1 species